CCCUUAGACGCUCUGGGCCGCACGCGCGCUACACUGACGAAGGCAACGAGCUUUCCUUUACCGAAAGGUACGGGUAAUCUUUUGAAACUUCGUCGUGCUGGGGAUAGAUCCUUGCAAUUUUUGAUCUUAAACGAGGAAUGCCUAGUAAGCGCAAGUCAUCAACUUGCGUUGAUUACGUCCCUGCCCUUUGUACACACCGCCCGUCGCUACUACCGAUUGGAUGGUUUAGUGAGGCCUUCGGAUCCGCGACUCGUUUUGUGGAGAAGUUGGACAAACUCAGUCAUUUAGAGGAAGUAAAAGUCGUAACA
rnacentral:rRNA from 1 species